UUAUUUAAAUGCACUUCAACAUCAUGAAAAUGUUCUCAAUUAAUAAGAGUAAUGCAGAGUGGACAUUAACAAUAUAAAAGGCAGAGUUACUUGAUGUUACUGUGUGACUACGAUUCAUUGCUUCUCGCAGGCCUAUGGACAUGGAAUGGAAGCAGAUACCACAUGGACUUCCACUGCUAAGGGUUUUCAAGCUUAGCGAGCACCUUUCAGCAAAAGUGACGACGUCUCUGGUGCACCUCACACAGCAGCAUGGGGCUGUGACCUGGUACAAAAGAAGCAGGCCUGGCCCACACGUCCGGGGGGACCCAAUGGUGGUCCAGCUGAAGCUGUAACGUACGUCACUGAGGCUAGAGGUGCGGGG
ensembl:lncRNA